rnacentral:rRNA from 1 species
CCGCCAGAGAACUACUAGUGAAAAACUUAAAACUCAAAGGACUUGGCGGUGUCCCAUUUCGGCCUAGAGGAGCCUGUCCUGUAAUCGACACCCCCCGUUCCACCCAACCUUCACUUGCACAUUCAGCCUAUAUACCGCCGUCGACAGUCUACCCCAUGAGGGUCUUUUAGUAGACACAAUAGCAACUGCUCGCUAGCACGUCAGGUCAAGGUGUAGCAUAUGUUAAGGUAGCGAUUGGCUACAUUUUUUAUUAGUAAACAAACGAAAUGCAACAUGAAACAUUGCACGAAGGUGAAUUUAGUAGUAAAAU